GACGCNGGCGGCAGGNCUAACACAUGCAAGUCGAACGAGAACCCCUUCGGGUGGUGGACAGUGGCAGACGGGUGAGUAACGCGUGGGAACGUGCCUUUCGGUUCGGGAUAACCCAGGGAAACUUGGACUAAUACCGGAUACGCCCUUCGGGGGAAAGAUUCAUUGCCGAAAGAUCGGCCCGCGUCGGAUUAGCUAGUUGGUGAGGUAAAAGCUCACCAAGGCGGACGAUCCGUAGCUGGUCUGAGAGGAUGACCAGCCACACUGGGACUGAGACACGGCCCAGACUCCUACGGGAGGCAGCAGUGGGGAAUAUUGGACAAUGGGCGCAAGCCUGAUCCANCCAUGCCGCGUGGGUGAANAAGGCCUUANGGUUGUAAAUCCCUUUCACCGGGGAANAUAAUGACGGUCCCCANAAAAACCCCGGCUAACUCCUGCCACACCCNGUAAUACNGANGGGCUANCNUUNUUCNNAAUUCUGGCCUNAANCCCCCUA
rnacentral:rRNA from 1 species